rnacentral:rRNA from 1 species
ACUCAAAGGAAUUGACGGGGGCCCGCACAAGCAGUGGAUUAUGUGGUUUAAUUCGAAGCAACGCGAAGAACCUUACCAGGGCUUGACAUCCAGCUAGCGCGGCCGAAAGGCUGCGGUACCCUUCGGGGGAAGCUGAGACAGGUGGUGCAUGGUUGUCGUCAGCUCGUGUCGUGAGAUGUUGGGUUAAGUCCCGCAACGAGCGCAACCCUUAUUGCUAGUUGCUACGCGAGAGCACUCUAGCGAGACUGCCGUUGACAAAACGGAGGAAGGCGGGGACGACGUCAAAUCAUCAUGCCCCUUAUGUCCUGGGCUACACACGUAAUACAAUGGCGCCCAACAGAGGGAAGCAAGGCCGCGAGGCGGAGCAAAUCCCCAAAAGGCGUCUCAGUUCGGAUCGCAGGCUGCAACCCGCCUGCGUGAAGUCGGAAUUGCUAGUAAUCGCGGAUCAGCAUGCCGCGGUGAAUACGUUCCCGGGCCUUGUACACACCGCCCGU